CCUACGGGAGGCAGCAGUGGGGAAUUUUGGACAAUGGGCGCAAGCCUGAUCCAGCCAUGCCGCGUGAGUGAAGAAGGCCUUCGGGUUGUAAAGCUCUUUCAGGUGGAAAGAAAACGCAUGGGUCAAUACCCUGUGUGGAUGACGGUACCAUCAGAAGAAGCACCGGCUAACUACUUGCCAGCAGCCGCGGUAAU
rnacentral:rRNA from 1 species